rnacentral:rRNA from 1 species
UACAGAGGGGCGAAGCGUUAUUCGGAAUUAUUGGGCGUAAAGGGCGCGUAGGCGGCUUUUCAAGUGACGGGUGAAAGCCCUCGGCUUAACCGAGGAACUGCCUGUCAGACUGGAAGGCUUGAGACCGGGAGAGGUGAGUGGAAUUCCCAGUGUAGCGGUGAAAAUGCGCAGAUAUCAGGAAGAACACCCGUGGCGAAGGCGGCUCUCUGGGACGGUACUGACGCUGAGACGCGAAAGCGUGGGGAGCGAACAGG